UCUGUUUAACAAAAACAUGUCUGUAUGAAGUUAAAUGGAGUCUAUUCUGCCCAUUGAGAGAAAUUCUUAAAAGGCCGCGGUAUACUAACUGUGCAAAGGUAGCAUAAUCAGUAGUUUCUUAAUUGGAGGCUUGUAUGAAUGAUUGGAUAAGAAUUAAACUGUCUUUUCUUAAAAAAUUGAAUUUUAUUUUUAAGUGAAAAAGCUUAAAUGAAGCAGAGGGACGAUAAGACCCUAUAAAUCUUUAUGUAUAUGUUUUUAUUUAUUAWAUAUUAGUYUGUUAAGGUAGAAAUAAAAGCARAUUCAUUGUGCUGGGGCGGUAGAAAUAUARAAAAACUAUUUUUAAAAGAUAACAAUGUUAAUUGAAAGUAAAAGAUCUUAAUUAAGGAUUAAAAGAAUAAGUUACUUUAGGGAUAACAGCAUAAUUUCUUUUGAGAGUUCAAAUCGAAAAAGAAGUUUGUGACCUCGAUGUUGAAUUAAAAAUUCCUUAUGGUGCAGAAGUUAUAAUAGGAAAGUCUGUUCGACUUUUAAAUUCUUACAUGAUCUGAGAA
rnacentral:rRNA from 1 species